rnacentral:lncRNA from 12 species
GCGGUUGAGUGGGAGGUUUUCAAGCUACACUCCAAGAGCUAGUCACAGGCAGAGCACAUGUUGAAAACUACGCCGCUAACUUAGCACAGUUUGUCAGUUUUUUUCUUUUAAUCUCCCCCAGUUUCUUCAACUAGGGGUAAGAAAUGAGACUCAGAGCAAGUACAUUUUUAUAGAGAUGAGAGCAGAGAGAAACAACCAAUGCACAGAGUGUUACCCAAGAGUGUAAGGCUAAGCAAAAUAUAGUGGUACGUCCUGCAGUCAAGGUGAGCUGGAUAAGAACACAUAGAAGUGAAUGAGAAAAGGAUGAGCCAUUUGUGUGCAACACCCACCCCAAGUGGUUUCUAAGGAAGGAUAAAGAAAGGAAACUGAACCAGGCCCACAUGUUGACAUUUUAUCUCACCUGACAGCUUAAAUAAAUAUGCCCAUUCCAAGCCUCUCUUCUUGUCGUCCAUGCAACAACCACAUGCACUUUGCACAAGUCUAGAAACAGAAGCCAGAGUUUCUGGCCGUUGCUUAAACUUGUCACCUUUCCAAGCUUACCCCAGGGCAGAUAUCUACUGAGCAGAUGGGAUGGCGAAAUUUCCCAAGGAAGCCUUUGGCUAGAACAACAAACACCCCAGAGAUUUUCCACACUUCGUAAAUCGCAGCUUUAUCAAACUCUCCUUAAAACAUCUCAUCUCAUGUGCCGACUCAGAACACUUGUGAUAUUCAAUCAAUCUGACAUUCAAUCAACAUCCAUCAGCUCAUAGUAUGGAAAUUAAGAUGAGAAUAACUGUCCCUAAGGUGUCACAUUUUGGUGCAUCUGGCUGCUUCUCUCUUGCCACCAGCCUAUGAAUUUUAUGAAGUACCUGUCUUUACAUGCUCAGGGGCCAGCCCAAGAGACAGCACACAGCAAGUGCUCAAUAAAUGCUGCACUGAGCCCAGUGGGGCCAGGGCCUCGGCUGUGGCCCUGUCUGGUGCCUUUCUCUUCCCCUACACUCACGUUCUCAGCUUGUGUUGGAACUUCCUUGAGUUAUGGAGAUACUCUUCUAUGUAAGAACAAGGCAGCAAUAUCCAUGGAAUCACAACCCUUCCAGACCCCGUCGUCCACCAUUCCCAACCUUCUGAUGGACACACACAAAGGAAACCCAGCCCACUACAGCUGCCAUGACUGCCACCACCACUACCAGCAGAUGUUUAAUUAGCACUUACCCAUACUAACUCACUCCAUCUUCAUAACCAUCUUCUGAGGCAAGUACGUCAUCCUUACUUUGAAGAUGAGGAAGCUGAGGUCCCAAACUGUGCUCUUAAGCAUCCUCUUAUGCUGCUUUCUGCAAACAAGCACUGCGGCAGAGUACAGAGAACGUGACCUUUGAGGUUGGAAAUUUCCUUGGCUUUGACAUUUAUUAGUUGAGUGAUCUUGAACAGGUUACUUGACUCCUCUGAGCCUCUGCUUUAUUAUCUGUAAAAGAAAUAGAGUUUCUACCUUGUAGUAAUGAAGAAAUAAAAUCAGAAGCUCUCGCA